rnacentral:rRNA from 2 species
ACAACUUUCAACAACGGAUCUCUUGGCUCUCGCAUCGAUGAAGAACGCAGCGAAAUGCGAUAAGUAAUGUGAAUUGCAGAAUUCAGUGAAUCAUCGAAUCUUUGAACGCACCUUGCGCUCUUGGGCUAUUCCUAAGAGCAUGCCUGUUUGAGUGUCUUG